AUGAGCAACAGAAAUUUUAAGAAAAAUUUAUUUACUCUUAUUCAAUUAAAUAUGAUCUAGCUAAACGAGAUCUAUCUAUCUAUUACUAGAUUUUAAGUCUACCCAUGAUCAAACCUAUUGCUUUGAUACCAUAAAAUGUCAUGUCUCAAAUUUAGGAUAUAACACGGCCAUGCUAUCAAGGGAUGCAGCCCUCGAUAAUAUGAAGUCACAUUCAUUUUUUUAAUUAUAAUAACAUAUGUGUUAUAAAUAAAAGUAAUAAAAAGAUUCAAUUCAAAUUCUUAAUUAAACCAAAAC
rnacentral:lncRNA from 1 species